CUCUGUGGAGACUGCCGGUGGUCAAAACCCGGAGGAAAGGUGGGGAUGACGUCAAGUCCUCAUGGCCCUUAUGACCAGGGCUACACACGUGCUACAAUGGCCGGUACAAAGAGUUGCGAUGCCGCGAGGUGGAGCUAAUCUCAUAAAGCCGGUCUCAGUUCGGAUUGGAGUCUGCAACUCGACUCCAUGAAGUUGGAAUCGCUAGUAAUCGCGGAUCAGCAUGCCGCGGUGAAUACGUUCCCGGGCCUU
rnacentral:rRNA from 1 species